GUAAACGAUGAGAACUAAGUGUUGGAGAAAUUCAGUGCUGCAGUUAACGCAAUAAGUAAUCCGCCUGGGGAGUAUGCACGCAAGUGUAAAACUCAAAGGAAUUGACGGGGGCCCGCACAAGCGGUGGAGUAUGUGGUUUAAUUCGACGCAACGCGAAGAACCUUACCAAGUCUUGACAUACCAUUAAAGGCUCUAGAGAUAGAGAGAUAGUUAUAGUGGAUACAGGUGGUGCAUGGUUGUCGUCAGCUCGUGUCGUGAGAUGUUGGGUUAAGUCCCGCAACGAGCGCAACCCUUGUCUUUAGUUACCAUCAUUCAGUUGGGGACUCUAAAGAGACUGCCGGUGACAAACCGGAGGAAGGUGGGGAUGACGUCAAAUCAUCAUGCCCCUUAUGACUUGGGCUACACACGUCCUACAAUGGCGACUACAAAGGGCAGCAAGACAGUGAUGUUGAGCGAAUCCCACAAAGGUCGUCUCAGUUCGGAU
rnacentral:rRNA from 1 species